rnacentral:rRNA from 1 species
AUGGGCGGAAUGUCUUUCGAUGUGCCUCCUCGCACACAUUCCCAUGAAGAUACCGUUGAAGAUCUUGCCAACACCAUCGGAGCUUCACGUGAUGCGGUGCGUGAUGAGGAGAUGGAGGAAGAUUCAUCUUCGGAGGCGGAAGAAUCGUCUUCCGAAGAUGAGGACGAGGACGAAGACGAGGACGAGGAAUGA